AAAGCUCUAGAGAUAGAGUGGAGGUUUAUCCGGGAUACAGGUGGUGCAUGGUUGUCGUCAGCUCGUGUCGUGAGAUGUUGGGUUAAGUCCCGCAACGAGCGCAACCCUUGUCUUUAGUUACCAUCAUUAAGUUGGGGACUCUAGAGAGACUGCCGGUGAUAAACCGGAGGAAGGUGGGGAUGACGUCAAAUCAUCAUGCCCCUUAUGGCCUGGGCUACAAACGUAAUACAAUGGCGUAUACAAAGGGAUGCGAAAGGGCGACCUGGAGCAAAACUCACAAAGUACGUCUCAGUUCAGAUUGGAGUCUGCAACUCGACUCCAUGAAGGCGGAAUCGCUAGUAAUCGCGGAUCAGCAUGCCGCGGUGAAUACGUUCUCGGGGUUU
rnacentral:rRNA from 1 species